GGGUUGUGAGGUUAAGCGACUAAGCGUACACGGUGGAUGCCCUGGCAGUCAGAGGCGAUGAAGGACGUGCUAAUCUGCGAAAAGCGUCGGUAAGGUGAUAUGAACCGUUACAGCCGGCGAUGUCCGAAUGGGGAAACCCAGUGUGAUUCGUCACACUAUCGUUAACUGAAUACAUAGGUUAACGAGGCGAACCGGGGGAACUGAAACAUCUAAGUACCCCGAGGAAAAGAAAUCAACCGAGAUUCCCCCAGUAGCGGCGAGCGAACGGGGAGCAGCCCAGAGUCUGAAUCAGCUUGUGUGUUAGUGGAACGGUCUGGAAAGUCCGACGGUACAGGGUGAUAGUCCCGUACACCAAAAUGCACAGGCUGUGAACUCGAAGAGUAGGGCGGGACACGUGGUAUCCUGUCUGAAUAUGGGGGGACCAUCCUCCAAGGCUAAAUACUCCUGACUGACCGAUAGUGAACCAGUACCGUGAGGGAAAGGCGAAAAGAACCCCGGCGAGGGGAGUGAAAAAGAACCUGAAACCGUGUACGUACAAGCAGUGGGAGCACCUUCGGGUGUGACUGCGUACCUUUUGUAUAAUGGGUCAGCGACUUAUAUUCUGUAGCAAGGUUAACCGUAUAGGGGAGCCGCAGGGAAACCGAGUCUUAACUGGGCGUUAAGUUGCAGGGUAUAGACCCGAAACCCGGUGAUCUAGCCAUGGGCAGGUUGAAGGUUGGGUAACACUAACUGGAGGACCGAACCGACUAAUGUUGAAAAAUUAGCGGAUGACUUGUGGCUGGGGGUGAAAGGCCAAUCAAACCGGGAGAUAGCUGGUUCUCCCCGAAAGCUAUUUAGGUAGCGCCUCGUGAACUCAUCUUCGGGGUAGAGCACUGUUUCGGCUAGGGGGUCAUCCCGACUUACCAACCCGAUGCAAACUACGAAUACCGAAGAAUGUUAUCACGGGAGACACACGGCGGGUGCUAACGUCCGUCGUGAAGAGGGAAACAACCCAGACCGCCAGCUAAGGUCCCAAAGUCAUGGUUAAGUGGGAAACGAUGUGGGAAGGCACAGACAGCCAGGAUGUUGGCUUAGAAGCAGCCAUCAUUUAAAGAAAGCGUAAUAGCUCACUGGUCGAGUCGGCCUGCGCGGAAGAUGUAACGGGGCUAAACCAUGCACCGAAGCUGCGGCAGCGACACUAUGUGUUGUUGGGUAGGGGAGCGUUCUGUAAGCCUGCGAAGGUGUGCUGUGAGGCAUGCUGGAGGUAUCAGAAGUGCGAAUGCUGACAUAAGUAACGAUAAAGCGGGUGAAAAGCCCGCUCGCCGGAAGACCAAGGGUUCCUGUCCAACGUUAAUCGGGGCAGGGUGAGUCGACCCCUAAGGCGAGGCCGAAAGGCGUAGUCGAUGGGAAACAGGUUAAUAUUCCUGUACUUGGUGUUACUGCGAAGGGGGGACGGAGAAGGCUAUGUUAGCCGGGCGACGGUUGUCCCGGUUUAAGCAUGUAGGCUGGUUAUCCAGGCAAAUCCGGAUAAUCAAGGCUGAGGUGUGAUGACGAGGCACUACGGUGCUGAAGUAACAAAUGCCCUGCUUCCAGGAAAAGCCUCUAAGCAUCAGGUAACAUCAAAUCGUACCCCAAACCGACACAGGUGGUCAGGUAGAGAAUACCAAGGCGCUUGAGAGAACUCGGGUGAAGGAACUAGGCAAAAUGGUGCCGUAACUUCGGGAGAAGGCACGCUGGUGUGUAGGUGAAGCCCCUGCGGGUGGAGCUGAGACCAGUCGAAGAUACCAGCUGGCUGCAACUGUUUAUUAAAAACACAGCACUGUGCAAACACGAAAGUGGACGUAUACGGUGUGACGCCUGCCCGGUGCCGGAAGGUUAAUUGAUGGGGUUAUCCGUAAGGAGAAGCUCUUGAUCGAAGCCCCGGUAAACGGCGGCCGUAACUAUAACGGUCCUAAGGUAGCGAAAUUCCUUGUCGGGUAAGUUCCGACCUGCACGAAUGGCGUAAUGAUGGCCAGGCUGUCUCCACCCGAGACUCAGUGAAAUUGAACUCGCUGUGAAGAUGCAGUGUACCCGCGGCAAGACGGAAAGACCCCGUGAACCUUUACUAUAGCUUGACACUGAACAUUGAGCCUUGAUGUGUAGGAUAGGUGGGAGGCUUUGAAGCGUGGACGCCAGUCUGCGUGGAGCCAACCUUGAAAUACCACCCUUUAAUGUUUGAUGUUCUAACGUUGGCCCCUGACCGGGGUUGCGGACAGUGUCUGGUGGGUAGUUUGACUGGGGCGGUCUCCUCCCAAAGCGUAACGGAGGAGCACGAAGGUUAGCUAAUCCUGGUCGGACAUCAGGAGGUUAGUGCAAUGGCAUAAGCUAGCUUGACUGCGAGCGUGACGGCGCGAGCAGGUGCGAAAGCAGGUCAUAGUGAUCCGGUGGUUCUGAAUGGAAGGGCCAUCGCUCAACGGAUAAAAGGUACUCCGGGGAUAACAGGCUGAUACCGCCCAAGAGUUCAUAUCGACGGCGGUGUUUGGCACCUCGAUGUCGGCUCAUCACAUCCUGGGGCUGAAGUAGGUCCCAAGGGUAUGGCUGUUCGCCAUUUAAAGUGGUACGCGAGCUGGGUUUAGAACGUCGUGAGACAGUUCGGUCCCUAUCUGCCGUGGGCGCUGGAGAAUUGAGGGGGGCUGCUCCUAGUACGAGAGGACCGGAGUGGACGCAUCACUGGUGUUCGGGUUGUCAUGCCAAUGGCACUGCCCGGUAGCUAAAUGCGGAAGAGAUAAGUGCUGAAAGCAUCUAAGCACGAAACUUGCCCCGAGAUGAGUUCUCCCUGAGACUUUAAGUCUCCUGAAGGAACGUUAAAGACGAUGACGUUGAUAGGCCGGGUGUGUAAGCGCAGCGAUGCGUUGAGCUAACCGGUACUAAUGAACCGUGAGGCUUAACCUUACAACGCCGAAG
rnacentral:rRNA from 1 species